GGGUUGUGAGGUUAAGCGACUAAGCGUACACGGUGGAUGCCCUGGCAGUCAGAGGCGAUGAAGGACGUGCUAAUCUGCGAUAAGCGUCGGUAAGGUGAUAUGAACCGUUAUAACCGGCGAUUUCCGAAUGGGGAAACCCAGUGUGUUUCGACACACUAUCAUUAACUGAAUCCAUAGGUUAAUGAGGCGAACCGGGGGAACUGAAACAUCUAAGUACCCCGAGGAAAAGAAAUCAACCGAGAUUCCCCCAGUAGCGGCGAGCGAACGGGGAGCAGCCCAGAGCCUGAAUCAGUGUGUGUGUUAGUGGAAGCGUCUGGAAAGGCGCGCGAUACAGGGUGACAGCCCCGUACACAAAAAUGCACAUGCUGUGAGCUCGAUGAGUAGGGCGGGACACGUGGUAUCCUGUCUGAAUAUGGGGGGACCAUCCUCCAAGGCUAAAUACUCCUGACUGACCGAUAGUGAACCAGUACCGUGAGGGAAAGGCGAAAAGAACCCCGGCGAGGGGAGUGAAAAAGAACCUGAAACCGUGUACGUACAAGCAGUGGGAGCACGCUUCGGCGUGUGACUGCGUACCUUUUGUAUAAUGGGUCAGCGACUUAUAUUCUGUAGCAAGGUUAACCGAAUAGGGGAGCCGAAGGGAAACCGAGUCUUAACUGGGCGUUAAGUUGCAGGGUAUAGACCCGAAACCCGGUGAUCUAGCCAUGGGCAGGUUGAAGGUUGGGUAACACUAACUGGAGGACCGAACCGACUAAUGUUGAAAAAUUAGCGGAUGACUUGUGGCUGGGGGUGAAAGGCCAAUCAAACCGGGAGAUAGCUGGUUCUCCCCGAAAGCUAUUUAGGUAGCGCCUCGUGAAUUCAUCUCCGGGGGUAGAGCACUGUUUCGGCAAGGGGGUCAUCCCGACUUACCAACCCGAUGCAAACUGCGAAUACCGGAGAAUGUUAUCACGGGAGACACACGGCGGGUGCUAACGUCCGUCGUGAAGAGGGAAACAACCCAGACCGCCAGCUAAGGUCCCAAAGUCAUGGUUAAGUGGGAAACGAUGUGGGAAGGCCCAGACAGCCAGGAUGUUGGCUUAGAAGCAGCCAUCAUUUAAAGAAAGCGUAAUAGCUCACUGGUCGAGUCGGCCUGCGCGGAAGAUGUAACGGGGCUAAACCAUGCACCGAAGCUGCGGCAGCGACGCUGAUGCGUUGUUGGGUAGGGGAGCGUUCUGUAAGCCUGCGAAGGUGUGCUGUGAGGCAUGCUGGAGGUAUCAGAAGUGCGAAUGCUGACAUAAGUAACGAUAAAGCGGGUGAAAAGCCCGCUCGCCGGAAGACCAAGGGUUCCUGUCCAACGUUAAUCGGGGCAGGGUGAGUCGACCCCUAAGGCGAGGCCGAAAGGCGUAGUCGAUGGGAAACAGGUUAAUAUUCCUGUACUUGGUGUUACUGCGAAGGGGGGACGGAGAAGGCUAUGUUGGCCGGGCGACGGUUGUCCCGGUUUAAGCGUGUAGGCUGGUUUUCCAGGCAAAUCCGGAAAAUCAAGGCUGAGGCGUGAUGACGAGGCACUACGGUGCUGAAGCAACAAAUGCCCUGCUUCCAGGAAAAGCCUCUAAGCAUCAGGUAACAUCAAAUCGUACCCCAAACCGACACAGGUGGUCAGGUAGAGAAUACCAAGGCGCUUGAGAGAACUCGGGUGAAGGAACUAGGCAAAAUGGUGCCGUAACUUCGGGAGAAGGCACGCUGAUAUGUAGGUGAAGUCCCUUGCGGAUGGAGCUGAAAUCAGUCGAAGAUACCAGCUGGCUGCAACUGUUUAUUAAAAACACAGCACUGUGCAAACACGAAAGUGGACGUAUACGGUGUGACGCCUGCCCGGUGCCGGAAGGUUAAUUGAUGGGGUCAGCGCAAGCGAAGCUCUUGAUCGAAGCCCCGGUAAACGGCGGCCGUAACUAUAACGGUCCUAAGGUAGCGAAAUUCCUUGUCGGGUAAGUUCCGACCUGCACGAAUGGCGUAAUGAUGGCCAGGCUGUCUCCACCCGAGACUCAGUGAAAUUGAACUCGCUGUGAAGAUGCAGUGUACCCGCGGCAAGACGGAAAGACCCCGUGAACCUUUACUAUAGCUUGACACUGAACAUUGAGCCUUGAUGUGUAGGAUAGGUGGGAGGCUUUGAAGUGUGGACGCCAGUCUGCAUGGAGCCGACCUUGAAAUACCACCCUUUAAUGUUUGAUGUUCUAACGUUGACCCGUAAUCCGGGUUGCGGACAGUGUCUGGUGGGUAGUUUGACUGGGGCGGUCUCCUCCUAAAGAGUAACGGAGGAGCACGAAGGUUGGCUAAUCCUGGUCGGACAUCAGGAGGUUAGUGCAAUGGCAUAAGCCAGCUUGACUGCGAGCGUGACGGCGCGAGCAGGUGCGAAAGCAGGUCAUAGUGAUCCGGUGGUUCUGAAUGGAAGGGCCAUCGCUCAACGGAUAAAAGGUACUCCGGGGAUAACAGGCUGAUACCGCCCAAGAGUUCAUAUCGACGGCGGUGUUUGGCACCUCGAUGUCGGCUCAUCACAUCCUGGGGCUGAAGUAGGUCCCAAGGGUAUGGCUGUUCGCCAUUUAAAGUGGUACGCGAGCUGGGUUUAGAACGUCGUGAGACAGUUCGGUCCCUAUCUGCCGUGGGCGCUGGAGAACUGAGGGGGGCUGCUCCUAGUACGAGAGGACCGGAGUGGACGCAUCACUGGUGUUCGGGUUGUCAUGCCAAUGGCACUGCCCGGUAGCUAAAUGCGGAAGAGAUAAGUGCUGAAAGCAUCUAAGCACGAAACUUGCCCCGAGAUGAGUUCUCCCUGAC
rnacentral:rRNA from 1 species